GCCUUACAUGAUAGACACCCUUUGUUUCCGCCAGAGAACUACAAGUGAAAAACUUUAAACUCAAAGGACUUGGCGGUGUCCCAUAUCGACCUAGAGGAGCCUGUCCUAUAAUCGAUACUCCCCGCUCCACCUAACCUCAAAUAGCACCUUUCAGCCUAUAUACCGCCGUCGACAGUCUACCCCAUGAGGGCCCAACAGUAGACACAAUAGCUAACACCGCUAACACGUCAGGUCAAGGUGUAGCACAUGCUGAGGAAGAGAUUGGCUACAUUUUUUAUAUUAAAAAACACGAAAUGCAACAUGAAAUCCUGCAUGAAGGUGAAUUUAGUAGUAAGAUUCAACAAGAGUGUUUAUCUUAACAACGCUCUGGGACGCGCACACACCGCCCGU
rnacentral:rRNA from 1 species